rnacentral:rRNA from 1 species
GUAAUACCGUAUAAGCCCUUCGGGGGAAAGAUUUAUCGGGAAAGGAUUGGCCCGCGUUAGAUUAGAUAGUUGGUGGGGUAAUGGCCUACCAAGUCUACGAUCUAUAGCUGGUUUUAGAGGAUGAUCAGCAACACUGGGACUGAGACACGGCCCAGACUCCUACGGGAGGCAGCAGUGGGGAAUCUUAGACAAUGGGCGCAAGCCUGAUCUAGCCAUGCCGCGUGUGUGAUGAAGGUCUUAGGAUCGUAAAGCACUUUCGCCAGGGAUGAUAAUGACAGUACCUGGUAAAGAAACCCCGGCUAACUCCGUGCCAGCAGCCGCGGUAAUACGGAGGGGGUUAGCGUUGUUCGGAAUUACUGGGCGUAAAGCGUACGUAGGCGGAUCAGAAAGUAGGGGGUGAAAUCCCAGGGCUCAACCCUGGAACUGCCUCCUAAACUCCUGGUCUUGAGUUCGAGAGAGGUGAGUGGAAUUCCAAGUGUAGAGGUGAAAUUCGUAGAUAUUUGGAGGAACACCAGUGGCGAAGGCGGCUCACUGGCUCGAUACUGACGCUGAGGUACGAAAGUGUGGGGAGCAAACAGGAUUAGAUACCCUGGUAGUCCACACCGUAAACGAUGAAUGCCAGUCGUCGGGCAGUAUACUGUUCGGUGACACACCUAACGGAUUAAGCAUCCG